rnacentral:rRNA from 1 species
GAGUUUGAUCAUGGCUCAGGAUGAACGCUAGCGGCAGGCCUAAUACAUGCAAGACGAGCGGUAAGUGGUGUAGCAAUACAUUACGAGAGCGUCGUAAGGGUGCGUAACAAGUAUGCAAUCUGCCCUCAACUGGAGGAUAGCUCCCCGAAAGGGGAUUAACACUCCAUAGAAUUGUUUGGUGGCAUCACUGAACAAUUAAAACUCCGGUGGUUGAGGAUGAGCAUGCUUCUGAUUAGUUAGUUGGUGGUGUAACGGACCACCAAGACGAUGAUCAGUAGGGAACUGAGAGGUUGAUCCCCCACACUGGCACUGAGAUACGGGCCAGACUCCUACGGGAGGCAGCAGUAGGAUAUUGGUCAAUGGAUGCAAGUCUGAACCAG